AGAGUUUGAUUAUGGCUCAGGACGAACGCUGGCGGCGCGCCUAACACAUGCAAGUCGAACGAGCGAGAGAGAGCUUGCUUUCUCAAGCGAGUGGCGAACGGGUGAGUAACGCGUGAGGAACCUGCCUCAAAGAGGGGGACAACAGUUGGAAACGACUGCUAAUACCGCAUAAGCCCACGACCCGGCAUCGGGUAGAGGGAAAAGGAGCAAUCCGCUUUGAGAUGGCCUCGCGUCCGAUUAGCUAGUUGGUGAGGUAACGGCCCACCAAGGCGACGAUCGGUAGCCGGACUGAGAGGUUGAACGGCCACAUUGGGACUGAGACACGGCCCAG
rnacentral:rRNA from 1 species